rnacentral:rRNA from 2 species
GGAAGUAAAAGUCGUAACAAGGUUUCCGUAGGUGAACCUGCGGAAGGAUCAUUAAAGAGUAAGGGUGCUCAGCGCCCGACCUCCAACCCUUUGUUGUUAAAACUACCUUGUUGCUUUGGCGGGACCGCUCGGUCUCGAGCCGCUGGGGAUUCGUCCCAGGCGAGCGCCCGCCAGAGUUAAACCAAACUCUUGUUAUUUAACCGGUCGUCUGAGUUAAAAUUUUGAAUAAAUCAAAACUUUCAACAACGGAUCUCUUGGUUCUCGCAUCGAUGAAGAACGCAGCGAAAUGCGGUAAGUAAUGUGAAUUGCAGAAUUCAGUGAAUCAUCGAAUCUUUGAACGCACAUUGCGCCCCUUGGUAUUCCGAGGGGCAUGCCUGUUCGAGCGUCAUUACACCACUCAAGCUAUGCUUGGUAUUGGGUGCCGUCCUUAGUUGGGCGCGCCUUAAAGACCUCGGCGAGGCCUCACCGGCUUUAGGCGUAGUAGAAUUUAUUCGAACGUCUGUCAAAGGAGAGGACUUCUGCCGACUGAAACCUUUAUUUUUCUAGGUUGACCUCGGAUCAGGUAGGGAUACCCGCUGAACUUAAGCAUAUCAAUAAGCGGAGGA